rnacentral:tRNA from 1 species
AGGCCCAUGGUGUAGUGGUAACUCGUCGGUCUCCAAAACCGAAGACGGGGGUUCGAUUCCCUCUGGGCCUG